rnacentral:rRNA from 1 species
UACGGGGGGUGCGAGCGUUGCCCGGAAUCACUGGGCGUAAAGGGCGCGUAGGUGGCCUGAUAAGGGUGUGGUGAAAGUCCGGGGCUCAACCCCGGAUCUGCCGUGCCGACUGUCAGGCUAGAGUACUGUAGGGGCAGGCGGAAUUCCGGGUGUAGCGGUGGAAUGCGUAGAGAUCCGGAGGAAGACCGGUGGCGAAGGCGGCCUGCUGGGCAGUUACUGACACUGAGGCGCGACAGCGUGGGGAGCAAACAGG